CUUUCUGUGUAUAAAAACCUUAGACAUCAGAAAGCCAAAAGGAAAAAAAAAAAAAGGAGUUAAAAGAAAACAGUAAAGGGAAACGAAAUGGCAGACGUCGCUCCGGGAAACGCCGGCGGUCACUUCGGAGAAUUUCCGGCGAUUCAGACACACGGCGGUCAAUUUAUUCAGUAUAAUAUUUUUGGAAAUUUAUUUGAGAUAACGUCUAAGUAUCGGCCUCCGAUCAUGCCGAUCGGUCGUGGAGCCUACGGCAUCGUUUGCUCCGUAUUGAAUUCGGAGACGAAUGAGAUGGUGGCGGUAAAGAAAAUUGCCAAUGCUUUCGAUAAUCACAUGGACGCUAAGCGUACACUUCGUGAGAUUAAGCUCCUUCGACAUUUGGAUCACGAAAACGUUAUUGCAAUUAGAGAUGUGAUUCCUCCACCUUUGCGGAGAGAAUUUGCUGAUGUCUACAUUGCCACAGAGCUUAUGGAUUCAGAUCUUCACCAGAUCAUUCGCUCCAAUCAGAGUUUAUCCGAAGAGCAUUGUCAGUAUUUCUUGUAUCAGAUUCUUCGAGGACUGAAGUACAUACAUUCUGCAAACGUGAUUCAUAGAGAUUUGAAACCUAGCAACCUCUUGCUGAAUGCUAAUUGUGAUCUUAAGAUUUGUGACUUUGGUCUUGCUAGAUCUGCUGCUGCUGAGAAUGAGUUUAUGACUGAAUAUGUUGUCACGAGAUGGUAUAGGGCACCAGAGCUAUUGCUGAACUCUUCAGACUACACAGCUGCCAUAGAUGUGUGGUCUGUUGGUUGCAUUUUUAUGGAGCUCAUGAAUAGAAAGCCUUUGUUUCCUGGCAGAGAUCAUGUACAUCAAAUGCAGUUAUUGACUGAGCUGCUUGGCACACCAACUGAAUCUGAUCUUGGGUUUCUCCGAAAUGAGGAUGCAAGAAGAUAUAUCAGGCAGCUCCCUGCACAUCCUCGCCAACCACUGGCAAAUGUUUUCUCACAUGUUCAUCCAUUGGCUCUUGAUCUCAUUGACAGAAUGUUGACAUUUGAUCCAACCAAAAGAAUUACUGUUGAAGAAGCAUUGGCCCAUCCUUAUCUUGAAAGAUUACACGACAUAGCUGAUGAACCAGUCUGCCCUGAGCCUUUUUCUUUUGACUUUGAGCAGCAACCAUUGGGAGAAGAGCAGAUGAAGGACAUGAUUUACAAGGAGGCCUUAGCUCUGAAUCCUGAUUAUGCUUAAUAAUAAAAUAUAGUGAUCCUAUUUGGUUCACUGGAUACUUCUAUUUUCUGAAUGUGCCAAUCCAAGUAAUUUGGUGUAUAAGUUUGUGGUGGCUGAUAGAUAGCACCCAGAAUAGGCUGGUGGGUUGCGGACUGAGAUAUCCUAUUUUUGCUUUUGCAAUUUCUUUGAAGUGGAUUUACUGCUUUUGCACCCAUGACCGCCCUGCCCUUUGAUUCUGGCUUUCAUGAGAUCAAAUAGAAUUUUGGAUGUCCUAAUUCAUGUUAAGUUAAAGUCGAUAUAUUGUUGAACAUCUUUGCAUCAGCAUCCUGUGCUGUUGUUGGAUGUGGAAGUACAACUGUCCAAGACUCCAAAGAAGAAGCCUGGCUUUUAUUUGGUAUUGGAUUUUGAUAGAACAUUUUCGCUAUGUAGAAUAGCUAAAAAGCACAGGAGCCUUUGAAAUUCGUAUGACUUGGUGAACUGAAACCAAAAAGAAUACGACUGUUGUUCCUGCUCACUACGCUGUCACCUCACUGCAUUUUCGCAUGGUCCGGGUGUUCAGCUGAUGUCAUCGGUUGUGCCUGCUCACUACACUGAGGAUGCAUUUCAUUUGACCAUCUUGGUCAAAUAACAUUUACAAAUAAUUCAACCAUUAUUGAACUCAGAGGGGAACAAUUAAAAGCUGCAAGCAUUUUCUAUUGGGAAGAAAGAGCAUCUAUAUGGUUAUGAUGAUGGUGAGGAACUUAUUGAGUGCCUAUACUGGCCUUAUGACUACUUCCACAACUAGCAGUGGUUGGAAUUGGAGAAGCAUUUCAUCUCCCAGGACAACUUACAUUACAUUAUCGAGAUUUCCCUGUUUCAUUAAAAAAAACAGCAACUGCCAUGGUUUCUGCUGUUAUCAGGAUCGCUUACUAUGUCAGUACAGCUCUGGUUGAUCUGAUCAGGAACGUCACGAGGUGUUUUCCUGAUAAUAAAAACAAUAAUGGAGGGCUAGACAAUGUAUAUUGGAGCUUUGUUCUUAUAGGGUUGUUAUUAUCUAGUCUGUGCUAGUUUAUACAAAUAUCAAAAUUUUGAUAAACUGCAAGUUGAUGGAGAAACAAGCCAAUCGGUUUUAAUAUAUUCCUUUAUUACAAAUGACAAUGAGCUGUUAACUCAAUGGUAUCGGAGUCGGGAGCUGAGAUCUCGAAUUUAAACU